GAUGAACGCUGGCGGCGUGCUUAACACAUGCAAGUCGAACGAAGAUGCCGGAGUGCUUGCACUUUGGCAGACUGAGUGGCGGACGGGUGAGUAACGCGUGGGUAACCUGCCUUAUACAGGGGGAUAACAGUUGGAAACGACUGCUAAUACCGCAUAAGCGCACGGUAUCGCAUGAUACAGUGUGAAAAACUCCGGUGGUAUAAGAUGGACCCGCGUCUGAUUAGCUUGUUGGUGAGGUAACGGCCCACCAAGGCGACGAUCAGUAGCCGGCCUGAGAGGGUGAACGGCCACAUUGGGACUGAGACACGGCCCAAAACUCCUACGGGAGGCAGCAGUGGGGAAUAUUGCACAAUGGGGGAAACCCUGAUGCAGCGACGCCGCGUGAGUGAUGAAGUAUUUCGGUAUGUAAAACUCUAUCAGCAGGGAAGAUAAUGACGGUACCUGACUAAGAAGCAACCGGCUAAAAUACGUGCCAGCAG
rnacentral:rRNA from 1 species